AUGGGUGCUCCAGCCCCAGAGCACCCCCGGAGUCAGUGCCUAUGCCUGUGCUAUCCCAGCCCUGGGCUCCCCACACACAGCUGUGCUGCGCACCGGUGGGGAGCUGAAGCCACGGGGGCAGGCCAGGCAGGAGAAGCCCUUCCAGAGAGGCCGUCUCGUCUCACCUCAGCUCUUGUCCAAGCGGGCACCUUGAGGCAGAAUCGCCCGGGGCUCACAGGCUGCUGGCCAUGGCACCCACAGGCCCCAUUCAGGGCCGGGCCCCAGGGUGCUGGGUGCUGUGCAGACACGUACCGAGACAUGUCCUGCCCCAAAGAGCUGACAGGGACCACAGGGGCCCCCGCCAGGGAGGGGCGUCCCACAGAGCUGUUCGGCGCUAGGUCCCGUGGCUCUCCCUGUGGCAGGUGUCGUGGCAGGGGCGGGAUCUGGAGGGGAAAGGGGGAGUGGCCUGACCGAGGUGUUCAGGCCAGGCAUUCCCUGCUGACUGGGCAGCGGGGAAGAAAGCACAGUGGGAAACAUGGGUGCCCAGCGUUGGAGCUGGCAAGGCAGGUUGGGAGGGGCUGGGGGGGGGUCCCACCAGGCCGGUUUGCAGGGUCGAAACCACACUCCAGUGUCCAAUGUCCUGCUUGUUCACUAAGGCUGCGAUUAGCCAAGGCAGGGGAGGGCUCUGGGGGCCCCAUCAGAGUGAGUAGGAACAGGGGCCCCCGGCACCGCAGCCUGGCAGCACUGCUUCAGGAUGUGGCACCUUUAGUGCCAGGGCUCUGCCAUUCCCCCGUGUUUUGUUCCCGGCUGACCCGUCGGGGGGCGGGGGGCCAGUCCAGCCGUGCGCUGAGCCCCUCCGGGCUCUUGAGCUCUGUACACGUGGGAGUUGGCACGGAUGCUGAGGUAGUGCCAAGGGACAGGGGAGUUCAGGGCGUGAACGCCGGUCUGACCAUGUAUCCAGGCCUCCCUACUGUGUGCUGGGGUACAGGGCCCUGGAUGGGCCUCCCUGCAUACAGCCCGGCCCCCCGGUCACACCCGGCAGGUGCUGGCCCCAUCCUGAGCCCUUGCGUUUUCCCGUCUUUCUCUCCCCCAUCACCCCGUCCCAUCUCUGCCUCCUGCAGCCCCCAUUUUCCUGCUGGGGAACAAGACUGA
rnacentral:lncRNA from 1 species